CGCCCUCUGAGGGGGCAGCAGCGCUUCCUGCCCCUGCGGGGCACCCGCCGCGCCGCCGCUCCGCAGUUCCCAAGCAAGUGCCUACCGGGCAGGGAAGCAGCAUUGCCAGCCAGGAUUUGGCUCGACAGAAGGCAGGAGUGACUGGGAAGUACAGAAAAUGGCCAAAGGACAUGGGCAACUAGAAGGCCUUCAAUGGUGAGGGUGAUUGGUGUUUUGGGACAAGGAUCAUCUAUUAUUCUGUUUACGCACUGCUAAGCCCAGUGGAGCCUUGCCCGGAACAACUGACUGGGUCCUUUUGCCACUCCCAUACAAAGCAUAAUAAUAAUUCUUUAACAAUCCUUGCCCCUACUGCUGUAUUCUCCAGUCCCCUCAAGCUGACAGGCAUGAAUGAGCUCUACAGGUACUUUUGCCAUCUGCCUUUGGCAGAGAUCCCUACACAGAUACUCUGUGGUAGGAUUUAUAGCAUGAAAUUGCCAAUUCUACAGAAGCCAUUCUCUUAGGACAAAGAGCUUAGUGUAACACUUACGGAAGGUGAUAUGAGAGAAGAUGACUCAAAGUCUGUUUAUCAACGAAGAAGUCCAGCACAACCAUCAGCUGGAAUUCAGACUGGGGUCACCACCUCAGAGGGUCAUACGAUCAUUCCAUAUUCAGGCUCAUUUGUUUUCUCCACUCUCUGCUGAGGUUGCUGAUAAAGGAAUCACAUUUGAUUUUUUUUCAGAACAAGAUAUUAAAUAGGUUUUAUUGGACCCCAGAGAGGUGGUUUUAAGCAGGGCUAGCCUUGGACGACUGUUGCUGGAGAUGUGGAAACCAGGUUGGGUCUCUUACUCAUAUUUUAUUCUUGUGUCCUAAAAUUACUGGUUUCUAACCUAGUGUAUGUAUGGCACUUUCUAAGAUACUUAAAAUUUACCAUGGUAGUAUCGCCAGAUUUAUACAUAUUGGGGAUUAUAGAUUCAAUACCAUUGUCUGUGCCAAUGAAAAAUGGCUAGUUAUGAUAGUUUUAGUGGCUAAAUAGGUAAUUUUAAGGAAAUGGGAAACUCCCAGUGUAUCUUCAUUCUUGGAAUGGUCAAAAGAACUUACGCAUGUUGCAUUAAUGGUAAAGAUUAUAUAUGCAAAUAUACAUAACUGGGCUCAAUAUGAAGAAAUGCAGUGUAAUUUGAAUUUUGUGUGAAGUUUAUAAAUUGAUUUAUUUGUGGUAUGGUAUCCUUUGUGUGUGUGU